AAAACUUCAAAAAAUAUUUUUUUUUGUACCCAAACAAACCCGGCAAACCCAACCAAACGUUGACUAAAAGGAGAGACACGAUUAGCCAACAUCUCUUUUCCCUUAAAACAUCACAAAUAAACAUUAGCUAGUGAAUUGCAGUGCAACUGAUUCAGAGAUUCACUAAAUAAACACCCACGUUGUCUUAGUUACGCAACUGCAAGGCGAGAAUCCCACAAAGGAAGUAUUUGCUCUAAGUUGUUGAAGCUCUUGUGCUCUGUCCUGCUGUUGCAGCCCGGCAGUAGGAUUCUCCUCCCAAGAAGAGCCCCUCCUGCCUUUCUUAGCGUCCCCCCACCCCUUUACAUACACACACACACACACACACACACACACACACACACACACACACACACACACACACACACACACACAACCAGCAACUAGUCUUGUACAAAACACACACUCACACAUGCCACCCCCAAAUAAUGGGCUCCCCUUCUCUGCACGGGAUGGGACAGUGGGAGGGAGUGACUCAGAGUGAAAUCGCAGGGUGGAAACGCCAGACACACCAACAGUUGAGAGGUUUUCAAGGUGGAGCGGUCGUGCUGGAAAUAUUUAUAUGGCAGUUGAGACCCUCUUCUCUUCAGCGGGGAGACGGUUGGAAACCCGUCACUCUUCCUCGACGACGGCUGCACCGCAGGCUUCCUCGUCGGUCAUGACCCGCCCCAUGGGCCCUGCCAUUGGACGCCUCCUCCCCCUCCUCCCCCUCCUCCUUUUGAUUGGCGGCUGUGUGGCGACAGGAGGUCAUUCUGGCAUCAAACCCAGAGCUGUACGUUCGAGUGCCUGUCAGGACCACAGCAAACUCCAUAACCGCCUGGAUAUAGUGGAGAAGAAAGUUGAAGACACAGUGGAGAAGUUGGAAGACGAGCUGGCCAUUCUUCUGGACGCCAUCGAAGCCCCGGAGUGGGGCCCUCUACUGGACAUUACCGGGACACCAUCGGUGGACAUCCUCGAUGGACACGGAGAAAUUGCCCCGUUUGAUACGAAAUAAUAACGAUACGAGUAUAGACAUUGGGUAUGCCUCUUUUUACACCAGUUAGUUGAUUUUUCUCAAAAUGUAUCUUGUUCUUAAAGAAAGUUUAUAGGUUGCUGCAGAAAGACAAUACAAUGCGUAACAUAUUCGGACACAAAUGAUUGACGGUCUUCGCUAGAUCUACUAGCCAAACAUGUCUGUUUAUAUUGUUUGUACUCAUCUCUCUUUUAAAGAUGAUUUAUGCCUUUUGGCUACGAUUUGGACUUCACUCUUAUUUUACCAAUUGAUUCGCAAGGGAACCCAUCCUUUAUGCCAGUGCGUCUGUCGCCCCCUGUGGACAAUGAACAGCUCCAAUAACAAGUGUGUAUGUCAACCUCAAUAAAGAGAACCUGAAAGAUAUAUUUGAAAGAGACUUGAUCAUAAAAGGUUUCACCGUUGGUAGUAAUUUUAUUUCUUUAUCAAAGCACUUAAAAGCAGCAUGUUUUAUUUUAAACACAGGGGGGUUGAGUGGGUUCUGUACAAGGCCUUGGUUGUUGGUGGCCCUGACUUGCAGGUCAUUUGGUUUCUGCAGUGUAGAAUACUUGUUGUCGAACAGGAACACACAGGGAAGGAAUGGCAUUCAUGACGUUGGUUUUCUCAACAUGGCACUGGUUUGUAUGUUGUUCAAAUGGAUUCAAAUGUUUAAAAUAGAAGUCAUGCUGUUUUUUUUCUUGGCAAGACACUAACACAAUAUAUUCCAACAGCUCAGGUUAAUAUGCUCACAAUGACAAAGUCCAACACACGAAUACACAGAGAAAACAUUGAAAGGAUUUGCAAGAAAUGCCGAAUUAGGAUUGAUCACCGAUGACAGUACUGCAGUAGACAAUCUACACAAAAAUCACUUAUCAAAAUAAUUAUUUAUAUUAGAUAGCAUAUUUCUGUAGUCAAAUGUUUAAUAGUAACAAAGGUUCUGUCAUUUAUUCUGAUGGUCUGUCUUUAAAGCGAGACUGGACCACCUAUUAAAGUUAUCUGAAAUGACACCACUUAUUUCUGCCUGUUGAACAUUCAGCAUAUUAAAUAGAGACAACAAAAGCUGCCCUGGUGCUAAACCAACCCUCUAUGUUCCAUUUCUCCUAAACUGAUAAAGGGGAAAGGUUAACCUGCGGAAAAGGUCAAAUGCUUCGAUUUUUCUUAAACAAAUCAAAUCAUCCAGAGAGGGCAAAAGCCGGCAUUCUUGAACAAGGCAUUAGGAAAACCUUUCGGAUGCGAAAAGACACUGGAUAUAAUCUACACUUAUCAUGCCGUCCAUACGCCACAGGAACUCUAUCGGUUGUACAGGUACAGAUGCUUACGUAAUACUCCUUCUUUACUCUGAUUGGGCGCCACCUGUGUCAAUCUUGGACCGAGCGUCAAGGCUUGCAAUUAACAAAAGCUUGUGCAUGCACAGGUGAGCCAGACACGAGUCAGAUCCAGGCUCGGGAUAAAAAACAGGCUAAUACAGGUUUAGUA
ensembl:lncRNA